rnacentral:tRNA from 1 species
UAUGAAUUGCCUGAAAAAAGGAUUAUCUUGAUAGGAUAAAUUAUGUAAUAUAUAUUACAUUCAUAA